rnacentral:rRNA from 1 species
UUGGAGGGCAAGUUGGUGCCAGCGGCCGCGGUAAUUCCAGCUCCAAUAGCGUAUAUUAAAGUUGUUGCAGUUAAAAAGCUCGUAGUUGAAUUUCGGGAUCAGUACGCUGGUCGUGCCUUUGGUAUGCACUGGUGUCACUGGCUUCUCCCUUCUGAAGAUCCGUGAUGUCAUUAAUGUGGUGUCGCGGGGAAUCAGGACUGUUACUUUGAAAAAAUUAGAGUGUUUAAAGCAGGC